AAGAGGGGAGACAAAGCCCAUGUCCCAUUUACUUAGAGGCUGAAUUUGGUACUUGGCCCAUUAAGCAUGAAUUAUUCACGGUUUAUUACUGCAGUAAGUGCAGCAAGAAAAGCAUCUCCAAUAAGAGUCCUCACUGAAUUGAUGCAGAGGUCUCCUCCAUCAUUAAUCUCCCUGGCAGGAGGAGCACCCAAUCCCAAUACCUUUCCUUUCAAAACCGCUACCAUUACCGUUGGGGAUGGAAGAAAGAUUGAAAUCGGGGAAGAUUUGAUGAAGCGAGCGCUCCAGUAUUCUGCCUCUGCGGGCAUUCCAGAGCUGCUGUCGUGGUUAAAGGAUUUACAGAAGAGUCUCCAUAACCCUCCAACAGUUGACUAUAGGCCUGAUGAUGGACAAAUGGAGUUAUGUGUCACCACCGGCAGCCAAGAAGGGUUAUGUAAAGUGUUUGAAAUGCUUAUUAAUCCUGGGGACAAUAUACUUUUGGAUGCACCUUCCUAUCCUGGAACACUAGCUGCUCUGAGACCAUUGGGCUGUAACAUCAUCAAUGUCCCCAGUGACCAACAUGGUAUUAUUCCAAAAGCCCUGAAAGACAUUCUUUCUAGGUGGAGUCCAGAAGAUGCAAAACAACUCAACGGCCAUGUCCCCAAAUUUCUCUAUACAAUUCCUAAUGGGGGGAAUCCUACUGGCGCCUCAUUGACAGCAGACCGCAAGAAAGAGAUCUAUCAGCUUGCGAGGCAGUAUGACUUCCUCAUAAUAGAAGAUGAUCCAUAUUACUUUCUUCAGUUUAAUAAGCCUUGGGCACCAACCUUUCUUUCAAUGGACACUGAUGGCCGAGUUAUCAGAACUGACUCCUUCUCCAAGAUCCUGUCUUCUGGGUUAAGAAUUGGAUUUCUAACAGGCCCCAAACCUCUCAUUGACAGAGUUAUUCUACAUAUACAGGUUUCCACAAUGCAUACCAGUACUUUCACUCAGCUUAUGAUAGCCCAACUUCUUCAACAGUGGGGACAAAAUGGUUUCCUGGACCACGUAGACAGCGUGGUGGAUUUUUACAAGAAACAGCGGGAUGUAAUGCUUACAGCAGCAGACAGGUGGCUAAAAGGACUAGCAGACUGGCACACACCUGCAGCUGGAAUGUUCCUAUGGAUUAAAAUUAAGGGAGUUUCUGAUACACAGGAGCUGAUCAUGAAAAAAGCGUUAGAGAAACAAGUGCUGCUGGUUCCUGGAAGAGCGUUUAACAUCAACAGUUCCGAUCUCAGCCCUUAUGUCAGAGCUUCCUUCUCACUGUCUACUCCAAACCAGAUUGAUCAGGGUUUUCAACGUUUGGCUGAACUCAUCAAAGAAGCUGUAUGAUUUCACCAAGUGAAAUUCCUGAAAAAGCUAGAGAAGGUUCAGGAGAAACUCAACUUGGGUUUCCAACUCUCUUCAUAGUAUUCAGUGAUGUGAAAUGCUUAAAGGGCUCUUGCGUCAUGCACGUUUGUAAUGCAAAUACGAAACUCCGCAUUGACCAGAAUGCUGAUUCAUAUUACAAACACCUCUUACCGGGUUUCUUUUCUGCGCGAGCAACAAUCAAAUCUUAACAUAAAUAAUGCAACAGAAGCUCAAAGAUUAUUGCGUAAAAAUGCUCUGAGCCAUGGCUUUGAGGACACGAUCUCUGUAUUCUUAUUCCUUAAGAAGAUGUGCCAUAUAGAAACAAUAAUAAUUUCAGCUUGAAAGUGUUGUCAGAAGAGUUGUGCUGAUGCUUCAUGUUCAACAAGGCAUAAUUUUUUUUGCAGAAUGGAUCUUUGGACAUUUGACACAAACAAGCACAACUGUGACAUGAUCUCCAUUCAUUAGGAUAGCAUUUGACAAUACAACUGAGAAGUUUCCAGACACGGUCCAUAAUGUUUGAUUUGGGCUGAUUCUGAAUAAAAG